rnacentral:rRNA from 1 species
AGUGAACGCUGGCGGUAGGCCUAACACAUGCAAGUCGAACGGCAGCACAGUAAGAGCUUGCUCUUACGGGUGGCGAGUGGCGGACGGGUGAGAAAUACAUCGGAAUCUACUUUUUCGUGGGGGAUAACGUAGGGAAACUUACGCUAAUACCGCAUACGACCUACGGGUGAAAGCAGGGGAUCUUCGGACCUUGCGCGAUUGAAUGAGCCGAUGUCGGAUUAGCUAGUUGGCGGGGUAAAGGCCCACCAAGGCGACGAUCCGUAGCUGGUCUGAGAGGACGAUCAGCCACACUGGAACUGAGACACGGUCCAGACUCCUACGGGAGGCAGCAGUGGGGAAUAUUGGACAAUGGGCGCAAGCCUGAUCCAGCCAUACCGCGUGGGUGAAGAAGGCCUUCGGGUUGUAAAGCCCUUUUGUUGGGAAAGAAAAGCAGCAGGUUAAUACCCCGCUGUUCUGACGGUACCCAAAGAAUAAGCACCGGCUAACUUCGUG